rnacentral:rRNA from 1 species
CGCUGGCGGCGUGCCUAAUACAUGCAAGUCGAGCGGACCAAAGGGAGCUUGCUCCUGGAGGUCAGCGGCGAACGGGUGAGUAACACGUGGGCAACCUGCCUGUAAGACUGGGAUAACAUCGAGAAAUCGGUGCUAAUACCGGAUAAUAAAAAGAACUGCAUGGUUCUUUUUUGAAAGAUGGUUUCGGCUAUCACUUACAGAUGGGCCCGCGGCGCAUUAGCUAGUUGGUGAGGUAACGGCUCACCAAGGCAACGAUGCGUAGCCGACCUGAGAGGGUGAUCGGCCACACUGGGACUGAGACACGGCCCAGACUCCUACGGGAGGCAGCAGUAGGGAAUCUUCCGCAAUGGACGAAAGUCUGACGGAGCAACGCCGCGUGAGUGAUGAAGGUUUUCGGAUCGUAAAACUCUGUUGUUAGGGAAGAACAAGUGCCGUUCGAAAGGGCGGCACCUUGACGGUACCUAACGAGAAAGCCACGGCUAACUACGUG